rnacentral:rRNA from 1 species
GGGGGGGGGGGGGGGGGGGGGGGGGGGGGGGGGGGCGGGGGGGGGGGGGGGCGUCGGGCUGGCGGCGGGUGGGGAACGGGUGAGUAAUGCAUCGGGGCGUGCCGAGUAGUGGGGGAUAGGCCGGCGAAAGCCGGAUUAAUACCGCACACGACCUGAGGGGGCCAGCGGGGGGCCGAACGGCCUCGCGCUAUUGGAGGGGACGAUGUCAGAUUAGCUAGUUGGUGGGGACAAGGCUUACCAAGGCGACGAUCCGUAGCUGGUCUGAGAGGACGACCCGCCACACUGGGACUGAGGCACGGCCCAGACUCCUACGGGAGGCAGCAGUGGAGAAUUUUGGACAAUGGGGGCAACCCUGAUCCAGCCAUGCCGCGUGCGAGAAGAAGGCCUUCGGGGUGUUAACCGCUUUUGUUCGGGAAAAAAUCCUCUGGGCUAAUACCCCGGGGGGAUGACGGUACCGGAAGAAUAAGCACCGGCUAACUACGUG